AUAGUAGUAAUUAUGAUCAAAACCCUGUUGGUUUUGCCCACUUGCACCCAACGUGGUCUUGGGCCCUUCUCAGUGGUCACUGGGGUACAGGAUUCAGUACCCUCCAUCCAAGGCCUUCAUAAAUGCUCUCUCUCCCUCUCAUCACCCAAUUUCCCUCCUUAGAGCCUGCAGAAUCCACCCCUAAAACUCAGGAGAGGGGCAGUGAGGAACCCAGCACAGAGGAACCCUCAACUCACAUACCACCACUGGAUUCCCAAGGAGCCAAUUUGGUCUGACAGAGAAGGAGGUAUCCUGGAAUCAAAACUGCAGUUUGGGAAUGCAUAGACACUGGAUUUGUUUCUUAUUUCUUCACUUUGGGGGGAAAAUCUCGUUUUUAAAAAGUGAUAAAUUUGAUGUUAGGUCUU